rnacentral:ncRNA from 1 species
GGGUGCGUGAUCCGGCGAUCGGAUCGGCAGGUGUCAGCGCUGGUCGGGCCGCCAGCG